rnacentral:rRNA from 1 species
GACGAACGCUGGCGGCGUGCUUAACACAUGCAAGUCGAACGGAAAGGCCCUGCUUUUGUGGGGUGCUCGAGUGGCGAACGGGUGAGUAACACGUGAGUAACCUGCCCUUGACUUUGGGAUAACUUCAGGAAACUGGGGCUAAUACCGGAUAGGAGCUCCUGCUGCAUGGUGGGGGUUGGAAAGUUUCGGCGGUUGGGGAUGGACUCGCGGCUUAUCAGCUUGUUGGUGGGGUAGUGGCUUACCAAGGCUUUGACGGGUAGCCGGCCUGAGAGGGUGACCGGCCACAUUGGGACUGAGAUACGGCCCAGACUCCUACGGGAGGCAGCAGUGGGGAAUAUUGCACAAUGGGCGGAAGCCUGAUGCAGCAACGCCGCGUGCGGGAUGACGGCCUUCGGGUUGUAAACCGCUUUCGCCUGUGACGAAGCGUGAGUGACGGUAAUGGGUAAAGAAGCACCGGCUAACUACGUGCCAGCAGCCGCGGUGAUACCUAGGGUGCGAGCGUUGUCCGGAUUUAUUGGGCGUAAAGGGCUCGUAGGUGGUUGAUCGCGUCGGAAGUGUAAUCUUGGGGCUUAACCCUGAGCGUGCUUUCGAUACGGGUUGACUUGAGGAAGGUAGGGGAGAAUGGAAUUCCUGGUGGAGCGGUGGAAUGCGCAGAUAUCAGGAGGAACACCAGUGGCGAAGGCGGUUCUCUGGGCCUUUCCUGACGCUGAGGAGCGAAAGCGUGGGGAGCGAACAGGCUUAGAUACCCUGGUAGUCCACGCUGUAAACGGUGGGUACUAGGUGUGGGGUCCAUUCCACGGGUUCCGUGCCGUAGCUAACGCUUUAAGUACCCCGCCUGGGGAGUACGGCCGCAAGGCUAAAACUCAAAGGAAUUGACGGGGCCCCGCACAAGCGGCGGAGCAUGCGGAUUAAUUCGAUGCAACGCGUAGAACCUUACCUGGGUUUGACAUGGAUCGGGAGCGCUCAGAGAUGGGUGUGCCUCUUUUGGGGUCGGUUCACAGGUGGUGCAUGGCUGUCGUCAGCUCGUGUCGUGAGAUGUUGGGUUAAGUCCCGCAACGAGCGCAACCCUUGUUCACUGUUGCCAGCACGUUAUGGUGGGGACUCAGUGGAGACCGCCGGGGUCAACUCGGAGGAAGGUGGGGAUGACGUCAAGUCAUCAUGCCCCUUAUGUCCAGGGCUUCACGCAUGCUACAAUGGCUGGUACAGAGAGUGGCGAGCCUGUGAGGGUGAGCGAAUCUCGGAAAGCCGGUCUCAGUUCGGAUUGGGGUCUGCAACUCGACCUCAUGAAGUCGGAGUCGCUAGUAAUCGCAGAUCAGCAACGCUGCGGUGAAUACGUUCCCGGG